rnacentral:rRNA from 1 species
GAGUUUGAUCCUGGCUCAGAUUGAACGCUGGCGGCAUGCCUUACACAUGCAAGUCGAACGGCAGCACGGGAGCUUGCUCCUGGUGGCGAGUGGCGAACGGGUGAGUAAUGCAUCGGAACGUAUCCUGGAGUGGGGGAUAACGUAGCGAAAGUUACGCUAAUACCGCAUAUUCUGUGAGCAGGAAAGCGGGGGACCUUCGGGCCUCGCGCUCUUGGAGCGGCCGAUGUCGGAUUAGCUAGUUGGUGAGGUAAAGGCUCACCAAGGCGACGAUCCGUAGCAGGUCUGAGAGGAUGAUCUGCCACACUGGAACUGAGACACGGUCCAGACUCCUACGGGAGGCAGCAGUGGGGAUUUUGGACAAUGGGGGCAACCCUGAUCCAGCCGUGCCGCGUGAGUGAAGAAGGCCU